UACGGGGGGAGCAAGCGUUGUUCGGAUUUACUGGGCGUAAAGGGCGCGUAGGCGGCCAGCACAGGUCAGUUGUGAAAUCUCCGGGCUUAACUCGGAAAGGUCAACUGAUACUGUGCGGCUAGAGUGCAGAAGGGGCAACUGGAAUUCUCGGUGUAGCGGUGAAAUGCGUAGAUAUCGAGAGGAACACCUGCGGCGAAGGCGGGUUGCUGGGCUGACACUGACGCUGAUGCGCGAAAGCGUGGGGAGCAAACAGG
rnacentral:rRNA from 1 species